CCUACGGGUGGCAGCAGUGGGGAAUAUUGCGCAAUGGGCGAAAGCCUGACGCAGCGACGCCGCGUGAGGGAUGAAGGUCUUCGGAUCGUAAACCUCUGUCAGCAGGGAAGAACGGUCACUGUGCUAAUCAGCAGUGAAUUGACGGUACCUGAAGAAGAAGCCCCGGCUAACUACGUGCCAGCAGCCGCGGUAAUACGUAGGGGGCAAGCGUUAUCCGGAUUUACUGGGUGUAAAGGGGGCGCAGACGGCGAUGCAAGCCAGGAGUGAAAGCCCGGGGCCCAACCCCGGGACUGCUCUUGGAACUGCGUGGCUGGAGUGCAGGAGUGGCAGGCGGAAUUCCGGGUGUAGCGGUGAAAUGCGUAGAUAUCAGGAGGAACACCGGUGGCGAAGGCAGCCUGCUGGACUGCAACUGACGUUGAGGCCCGAAAGCGUGGGGAGCAAACAGGAUUAGAUACCCCAGUAGUC
rnacentral:rRNA from 1 species